rnacentral:misc_RNA from 1 species
AACUAAGUGGCGAUCAGUCAGGUUGCAACUGUUCGAUCGAGAUCGCGAACCUUGAACGAUAUUAACGUUCAAGAUGCAGGUAGAUUAAGGUAGAUUAAGGUAGAUUAAGGUCUGUUAAGCUGGUGUUUAGUAGGUUUGUUUGAACUGUUUAUUUGGUAUAAACGGAAGAUAUACCGAAGGCACAGAAAUCCUAGCUACCAAUGUUGAUCCAGCGAAGCCUCGGAGAAAUUACAAUCACGGCUUAACGAAAUAGCAGUCUUGUUGAGAACAUGGAAAAUUGAAGUUAAUGUGGCCAAGUCACUACGACACAUACAUUUUCGUACGAAACAUAGAGGCAGCAAUUCGGGACAAUUAGUAAGGAACGAGGGCAGAUGUAAAUUGGAUAUCGUGAGUGACCGAUCAAUUAGGAAUGGAUUACGGAACGCUAAAAGAGGAAGCAAUAGCGCAACUAAAAUGUGGACGAAGAACGUAUUAAAUUAUUUAACCGUGUCUCGGAAAUGACCACUAGAUUAUCGAACACCUAAAAUAAAAAUCUAAAAUGAAACGAAUUAGGAUAAGAUCGAACAGAAUAAAAUCAAUAUAGUAGGAUACAAUCGUGGAAUAAAGACUACAGGGAAAGUUCGUAAGUCAUAUUGAUGCAUACGUAUUAAAUA